rnacentral:tRNA from 1 species
UGCUGUUUCCCCUGGGGGGAUUUUGUCUUGAAAACAAACUAGAAGUGUUCGAAUCACUUAACAGCUU